CUAGCGACAGGCCUAACACAUGCAAGUCAGGGGCAGCACAAGGAGCAAUCUGAGGUGGCGACCGGCGCACGGGUGAGUAACACGUAUGCAACCUGCCUGUAAGCGGGGAAUAACCCGUUGAAAGACGGACUAAUACCGCAUAAUACUAAAUUACUGCAUGGUAAUUAUUUAAACAUUUAUGGCUUACAGAUGGGCAUGCGCAUGAUUAGCUAGUUGGAGAGGUAACGGCUCCCCAAGGCAACGAUCAUUAGGGGUCCUGAGAGGAAGGUCCCCCACACUGGUACUGAGACACGGACCAGACUCCUACGGGAGGCAGCAGUGAGGAAUAUUGGUCAAUGGACGAGAGUCUGAACCAGCCAAGUCGCGUGCAGGAAGAAUGUUCCCUAUGGAUUGUAAACUGCUUUUGCAGGGGAAUAAAGUGCAUCACGUGUGAUGUUUUGUAUGUACUCUGCGAAUAAGGAUCGGCUAACUCCGUGCCAGCCGCCGC
rnacentral:rRNA from 1 species